rnacentral:tRNA from 1 species
UGGGGUGUGGCUCAGUGGUAAAGCACUUGCCUCACAUGUGCAAGACCCUGGGUUUAAUCCUCAGCACCAUAU